AUUGGGCUAUUCCAUUUAAUAUCCGUACCCCCCCUGUUGAGGAUCCCUGGAAUUCUUCAGGGGUAAAGGGUUUUGAGCUUGGAAUUCUUCAGGGGUAAAGUGUUUUGAGCUUGGAAUUCUUCAGGGGUAAAGUGUUUUGAGCUUGGAAUUCUUCAGGGGUAAAGGGUUUUGAGCUUGGAAUUCUUCAGGGGGAAAGGGUUUUGAGCUUGGAAUUCUUCAGGGGUAAAGAGGUUUGACUUUGAUAUUUUUCAGAGCUUGGAAUUCUUCAGGGCUGAAGGGUUUUGAGCUUGGAAUUCUUCAGGGGUAAAAGGUUUUGAGCUUGGAAUUCUUCAGGGGUAAAAGGUUUUGAGCUUGGAAUUCUUCAGGGGUAAAGAGUUUUGAGCUUGGAAUUCUUCAGGGGUAAAGUGUUUUGAGCUUGGAAUUCUUCAGGGGUAAAGUGUUUUGAGCUUGGAAUUCUUCAGGGGUAAAGGGUUUUGAGCUUGGAAUUCUUCAGGGGGAAAGGGUUUUGAGCUUGGAAUUCUUCAGGGGUAAAGAGGUUUGACUUUGAUAUUUUUCAGAGCUUGGAAUUCUUCAGGGCUGAAGGGUUUUGAGCUUGGAAUUCUUCAGGGGUAAAAGGUUUUGAGCUUGGAAUUCUUCAGGGGUAAAAGGUUUUGAGCUUGGAAUUCUUCAGGGGUAAAAAGUUUAAGCUUGGAAUUCUUCAGGGGUAAAGGGUUUUGAGCUUGGAAUUCUUCAGGGGUAAAGGACUUUGAGCUUGGAAUUUUGGAAUUCUUCAGGGGUAAAUAGUUUUGAGCUUGGAAUUCUUCAGGGGUAAAGGAUUUUGAGCUUGGAAUUUUGGAAUUCUUCAGGGGUAAAGGGUUUUGAGCUUGGAAUUCUUCAGGGAUAUAACCACGAAAAACAUGUAUCCUCGACAGGGGGUGUACGGAUAUUAAAUGGAAUAGCCCAUUCUACAAACUCGC
rnacentral:lncRNA from 1 species